rnacentral:rRNA from 1 species
AACGAACGCUGGCGGCAUGCCUAACACAUGCAAGUCGAACGAGACCUUCGGGUCUAGUGGCGCACGGGUGCGUAACGCGUGGGAACCUGCCCUUAGGUUCGGAAUAACUCCCCGAAAGGGGGGUAAUAACGGAUAAAGGCUUCGGACCAAAGAUUUAUCGCCUUUGGGUGGGCCCGCGUUGGAUUAGCUAGUUGGUAGGGUAAAAGCCUACCAAGGCGACGAUCCAUAGCUGGUCUGAGAGGAUGAUCAGCCACACUGGGACUGAGACACGGCCCAGACUCCUACGGGAGGCAGCAGUGGGGAAUAUUGGACAAUGGGCGAAAGCCUGAUCCAGCAAUGCCGCGUGAGUGAUGAAGGCCUUAGGGUUGUAAAGCUCUUUUACCCGGGAUGAUAAUGACAGUACCGGGAGAAUAAGCUCCGGCUAACUCCGUG